rnacentral:lncRNA from 1 species
CUCUCACAGAACUGUAACUAGUCCGAGAAAGUUAGAGGAUGGAAAAGAGUAGAAUGGUGCAAGAAAUUAUAGGAACUAAGAUUAGAAAAAGAGUCAAGGAAUUCUUAAUGGAGCUUUUAUAUACUAUGCUACAAAAAUUGAGUUUAUUCUGGAAAUAAUGACGAUGCAUCAAAAGGUUGAAAGUGGUUGGAGGAUAAAUUGGAUGGAACAUAAAAAUAUUUUUUAAUUGGAAAAUAUGAAAAUGAGGAGAAUCAUAAGGAGGGAUUCCAGGCAAGGAAAGCUUGUAUCCAAUGCAUGUUGCUGACAUUAUGCUCUGCAGAUUCUCAUUACACCAAGUUCUUCUGUGUUCAUCUGCUUCCUCAAGGCCAUUAUCCAUUACAUCUGUCUCAGCUCAGCUGAUGCUCUGGCAGUGGUUCUCUGCGUUGAGCAUUGCUGCCACACACCUUUGGUCUUUAAACCUGAACUGGAAUGAAGCUUAAACUGAAAUGUAGAGGGCAAAUGGUGUGCAAAACAAACUUUAAGUAGUAGUGAUUAAUCUUUCCAAUGAAUUUUUCUGUUUUUAGCCCAUUAAUUUUCAAUAAACAUUAAUGAAGUACUUAUCAUGUAUUAGCCACUAUGUUACCUCCAAAAAUAAAGAUGAUAGAUAAACGAUAU